rnacentral:snRNA from 1 species
UUACUUACCUGGCAGGGGAGAUACCAUGAUCACGAAGGUGGUUUUCCCAGGGUGAGGCUCAUCCAUUGCACUGCGGGUGUGCUGACCCCUGCGAUUUCCCCAAAUGCAGGAAACUCGACUGCAUAAUUUGUGGUAGUGGGGGACUGCGUUCGCGCUGUCCCCUG